UGCCUCAAACACAAACACAUGACAAAUAUAGUUCUGCAGUGAAGACUUUAGCCCCACGGGGAAAGCUGAGACUCAGGAGCCUGAUGGCAUAAACAAGGCGAAAGGCUUGGUAGCAAAUCAGAAGACUUGUUUUUGGAAGCUGAAAACUUACUUCGGCAACAACAGUCCUCCAUGGCUCCCUGUUUGUGCUCUUGCUGGCCAGGCCUGGGAAGCCCUCUUGGGGCCUCUGAGGCUUGUAACCAGCCCUGCUUAGGAACUUACUGUGUCUCUGUUUGAUUGAGCCUGGGCAUGAGAUAAAACACGAGGUCAUCUGCAAUGGCACUGGUGCUGUGGCUGUAUCAGCAUGGCUCUGAUGUCCCUUCGGGGCAGGCAACAGUUCAGGGAGGACUUACAAGCAAGCUCUGGAACUUGAAGUCUCAAGAGAUGACAAAUAGUCAAUUCUCAAAAAAUGAAGAAAAGAAAAACUUGUUUCUUCAUGUUUGCUAACCCUAUCUAUAUCUAUGGUUUUGGCCAAUAAAUUCACUGUGUUUAAAUCCUCA
rnacentral:lncRNA from 1 species